ensembl:snRNA U7 U7 small nuclear RNA
AAGUGUUAAAACCCCUUUAGAAUUUGGCUAGCAGGUUUUCCAAUUUUUACUAGAAAUCUACCCCC